GCUCUCCUGCGCUUUGACGCGCGGUCCUCGCGCCUCAGCUGAUGACUGCGCGCUGGAAUGCGGCGCCGAGGGACGGUCGCAGCUCGACGCGGGCUCGACGGCCCACUCUGACGAGCUGUGGGUCCGGAUGCCAGUGAGCGCCCCUCACCAGCACCGGGCUUUGCGGCGUUGGGACUGCGGCAGCCUGACCGCCCUCGGUAAGGCUUGUGUCCGCCUGGAGGAGGCGGCCCGGGAAGGGGCUCCGCGAGGGCUACUGCGGCUCCCAGUCCUGCUGAAGCGUCCUGCCGCCCGCACCUGCCCGGGGAGUUCACUUCAUCGUGUAGGGGAUACAAGGAGGAACUCAUUCUGUCCUUACCAUUGUGAAACUUACCAGUAGAGAAUAAAUACAGUACAAGAUGCAUCAUUCCUGGCUAAUUUCACAUCUCACACCUGAGAAAAAGAAAAAAAGUUUCCUUUUAAAUGUCAUGUUCAUGGAUUGGAAGACAACACUAUCAAGAUGACAGUACUCCCUGGAUUGAUCUACAGAUUCAACACAGUACCUACCAGAAUCCCAGAUGACUUCGUUAUAAAAAUUGACAAGUUGAUUCUAAAAUACACAUGGACGGGAGUGGGUGUUGGGUAACUCAGUGGUAGAGUGCCUGCUUAGCAUGCACAAGGUCCUGGGUUCAAUCCCCAGUAUCUCCAUGAAAAACUUAGUAAAUAAACCAAAUUACCUCUGCCCCCCCCAAAAAAAAAUAAAAAUAAAAAAAUAAUAGAAUGCACAUGGAAUUGCAAGGGACCUUGAAUAGCCAGAAUAAUGCUAAAAAGAAUUAAGUAGGAGGACUCAUAUUUCCCAAUUUCAAAACUUACUACAAAGCAACAGUAAUUAAGACAGUGUGUUACAGGCACAAAGAGAGACAUAUACAUCAAUGAAAUAGAAUUAAGAGUCUAGGAAUAAACCCCCAAAUCUAUGCCCAACUGAUUUUUGACAAGAGUACCAAGACCAUUCAAUGGGGAAGAAUAAUCUCUUCAACAAAUGGCACUGGGACAACUGAGUAUCUACACGCAAAAGAACGAAGUUGAACCCUUACCUUACACCGUCUACAAAAAUUAACUCAGUGGAGCUAAAACUGUAAAACUCAUUUAUAAGAAUAUAUAGGGGGAAAUCAUAAUGCCAUUUACUUGGCAAUGAUUUAUUAGAUAUGACACUGGAGGGACAGACAAUAAAAAAAUAAAUUGGACUUCACCAAAAUUAAAAACUUGUGCAUCAAAGGACACUAUCAGGAUUGUGAAAAUGUAACAUGUGAAAUAGAAAAAUAUUUAUAAACCAUAUAUCUGAUAAAAGGACUUCCAUCUAGAAUAUAUAAAGAACUCUUACAAUGUAAUAACAAAAAGACAAACCAAAUUCUAAAAUGGGCAAAGGAUCUGAAUAGAUGUUUCUUCAAAGAUACACAGAUAGCCAAUAAGUACAUGAAAAGAUGCUCAGCAUCAUUAGUCAUCAGAGAAAUGCAGAUCAAAACCACAGUGAGAUACCACUUCACACCCACUAGAAUGGUUCAAAUCAGAAAGUCAGAUAACAACAGGUGUCGGCAAAGAUUUUAAGAUACGGGACUCUCAUAACGCUAUUGGUAAUAAUGUAGAAUGUGGUACAACCACUUCAGAAAACAGUCUGGCAGUUCCUCAGAUGAUUAAACGUAAAGUUACCAUAUGACCCAGCAAUUCUGCUCUUAGGUACAUUUCAAGAGAAAUGAAAACAUGUCCACAUAGAAACUUCCACACGAAUAUUUAUAGCAGCUUUAUUCCUAAUAGCCAAAAGGCAGAAAGAACCCAAGUAUUCAUAAGCAGAUGAAUGGAUAAGCAAAAUGUGGUAUAUCUGUACAAUGGAAUAUUUUUCAGUCAUUAAAAAAAGAAUUAAGUAUUAAUGAACUUUGAAAACAUAAUGCUAAGGGAAAGAAGCCAAUCACAAAAGAUUACAUACCAUAUGAUUCCAUUUAUAUUAAAGUAUAGUAUAGGGAAAUGUAUAGAAAUAGAAAGUAGAUUAGUGGUUGCUUAGAGCAGUAUUGGGGAGGCCAUCUGGGUGAUAGCUGAAAGGUAGAGGGUUUCUUUUUAAGGUGAAUAUGUUCUAAAACUAAUGAUGGUUAUCUAUGAAUAUACCAAAAGCAUUGAAUUGUAUACUUUAAAUAGGUGAAUUUGAUAUGUAUGGUAUGAUAUGUGAAUUAUCUCUCAGUAAAUGUUUUUUUUUUAAGUGCA